ACGGAAGGCAGCAGUGGGGAAUAUUGGGCAAUGGGCGCAAGCCUGACCCAGCAACGCCGCGUGAAGGAAGAAGGCUUUCGGGUUGUAAACUUCUUUUAUCAGGGACGAAGGAAUGACGGUACCUGAUGAAUAAGCCACGGCUAACUACGUGCCAGCAGCCGCGGUAAUACGUAGGUGGGAAGCGUUAUCCGGAUUUACUGGGUGUAAAGGGCGUGUAGGCGGGAGUGCAAGUCAGGCGUGAAAACUAUGGGCUCAACCCAUAGCCUGCGUUUGAAACUGUACUUCUUGAGUACUGGAGAGGCAGGCGGAAUUCCGUGUGUAGCGGUGAAAUGCGUAGAUAUACGGAGGAACACCAGUGGCGAAGGCGGCUUGCUGGACAGCAACUGACGCUAAGGCGCGAAAGCGUGGGGAGCAAACAGGAGUAGAUACCCUGGUA
rnacentral:rRNA from 1 species